UAGGGAAUCUUCCGCAAUGGGCGAAAGCUUGACGGAGCAACGCCGCGUGAGUGAUGAAGGUCUUCGGAUCGUAAAACUCUGUUAUUAGGGAAGAACAAAUGUGUAAGUAACUAUGCACGUCUUGACGGUACCUAAUCAGAAAGCCACGGCUAACUACGUGCCAGCAGCCGCGGUAAUACGUAGGUGGCAAGCGUUAUCCGGAAUUAUUGGGCGUAAAGCGCGCGUAGGCGGUUUUUUAAGUCUGAUGUGAAAGCCCACGGCUCAACCGUGGAGGGUCAUUGGAACUGGAAAACUUGAGUGCAGAAGAGGAAAGUGGAAUUCCAUGUGUAGCGGUGAAAUGCGCAGAGAUAUGGAGGAACACCAGUGGCGAAGGCGACUUUCUGGUCUGUAACUGACGCUGAUGUGCGAAAGCGUGGGGAUCAAACAGG
rnacentral:rRNA from 1 species